UGUGGAGCACGUGAAGUCCCAGGGGCAUAAGGACAAAGCCAAGGAGCUGAAGUCGCUUGAGAAAGAAAUUGCUGGCCAAGAUGAGGACCACUUCAUUACAGUGGACGCUGUGGGUUGCUUCGAGGGUGAUGAAGAAGAGGAAGAGGAUGAUGAGGAUGAAGAAGAGAUCGAGGUUGAGGAGGAACUCUGCAAGCAGGUGCUGGGGGGAGGGUGUGGGAGGCGGGCUUGGUGCUGGAUUCCCAGCCCAGGACAGACCUCAUCCCACCUCCCGGAGGCCAGACACUGGGCUGGCAUCUGUGGGCACUAAUGCAUGCCACAACUGAUUACUGUCAACUGCCUUCUGCAUGACUAUGUAAUUAUGCAUGAUGACUAGAGAGUGGCAGUUAAAAUAUGCAAAGCCUGACUGAAAUUUGGACCUGUGUGGAGGAAGGGAAAGGGAACAGCAUCAGUAAAGGCACGGAGGUGGGAAACUAUGUAGUGUGCAAAGGAAAAGUCAGAUGAUGGUGAUGAUAA
rnacentral:lncRNA from 10 species